AAUUGUGUCUGUAUGAAGAAAAAUCCUGUUCCUUGUGCUGAUUACAGCAAUUCAAACAACAAGACAAGAAAUCUCAGUACAAGAACCUGACGUGGACUUCAGUGAAUAUCCUCACUGGGUUUGCUGCUUCUGUGAUGCCCUUGGAAUAUUAAUGCACAUGGAAAUUGUCCCACUCCAUCUUACAAGAGAGAAGAUGACUGCAAAAGGGGAAACCUCUGGACUGAACAACAACUCAAUAAAAGAGAAAAGAAGACCUGUGGGAAACUAAUUUUGAAAAUUCUACUGUCCAGCAAUUUCAAUGGCAUGAAGACUUCCCCAUAACUGUUUAUGCCAGUAGCCCUUUAAAAUGAGAGAAAGAGUCCUUGGAGCAAGAUAAAAUGCCCGACUGGU
rnacentral:lncRNA from 1 species